AUUGAACGCUGGCGGCGUGCCUUACACAUGCAAGUCGAACGGUAACAGGUCUUCGGAUGCUGACGAGUGGCGAACGGGUGAGUAAUGCAUCGGAACGUGCCCAGUUGUGGGGGAUAACUGCUCGAAAGAGCAGCUAAUACCGCAUACGACCUGAGGGUGAAAGCGGGGGAUCGCAAGACCUCGCGCCAUUGGAGCGGCCGAUGGCAGAUUAGGUAGUUGGUGGGGUAAAGGCCUACCAAGCCGACGAUCUGUAGUUGGUCUGAGAGGACGACCAGCCACACUGGGACUGAGACACGGCCCAGACUCCUACGGGAGGCAGCAGUGGGGAAUUUUGGACAAUGGGCGCAAGCCUGAUCCAGCAAUGCCGCGUGCAGGAAGAAGGCCUUCGGGUUGUAAACUGCUUUUGUCAGGGAAGAAAUCUUCUGGGUUAAUACCCCGGGAGGAUGACGGUACCUGAAGAAUAAGCACCGGCUAACUACGUGCCAGCCGCCGCCGUAAAAC
rnacentral:rRNA from 1 species